rnacentral:rRNA from 1 species
UACGGAGGGUGCGAGCGUUGUCCGGAAUCACUGGGCGUAAAGGGCGCGUAGGCGACAGGCCAAGCGGGCGGUGAAAGUCCGGGGCUCAACCCCGGAUCUGCCGUGCGGACUGGUUUGCUAGAGCACUGUAGAGGCGAGUGGAAUUCCGGGUGUAGCGGUGGAAUGCGUAGAGAUCCGGAAGAACACCGGUGGCGAAGGCGGCUCGCUGGGCAGUGGCUGACGCUGAGGCGCGACAGCGUGGGGAGCAAACAGG